rnacentral:rRNA from 1 species
CCUACGGGAGGCAGCAGUGGGGAAUAUUGCACAAUGGGGGCAACUCUGAUGCAGCGACGCCGCGUGCGUGAAGACGUAAUUCGUUAUGUAAAGCUCUAUCAGCAGGGAAGAAAACGACGGUACCUGAGUAAGAAGCCCCGUCUAACUACGUGCCAGCAGCCGAGGUAAUACGUAGGGGGCAAGCGUUAUCCGGAUUUACUGGGUGUAAAGGGAGCGUAGGCGGCAGUGCAAGUCUGGAGUGAAAGGCGGGGGCUCAACCCCCGGACUGCUCUGGAAACUGUACGGCUGGAGUGCAGGAGAGGUAGGUGGAAUUCGUGGUGUAGCGGUGAAAUGCGUAGAUAUUAGGAGGAACACCAGUGGCGAAGGCGGCUUACUGGACUGUAACUGACGUUGAGGCUCGAAGGCGUGGGGAGCGAACAGGAUUAGAUACCCGUGUAGUC